GACGAACGCUGGCGGCGUGCUUAACACAUGCAAGUCGAACGGAAAGGCCCAGCUUGCUGGGUGCUCGAGUGGCGAACGGGUGAGUAACACGUGGGUGAUCUGCCCCUAACUUCGGGAUAAGCCUGGGAAACUGGGUCUAAUACCGGAUAGGACAAUCGUUUAGUGUCGGUUGUGGAAAGUUUUUUCGGUUAGGGAUGAGCCCGCGGCCUAUCAGCUUGUUGGUGGGGUAAUGGCCUACCAAGGCGUCGACGGGUAGCCGGCCUGAGAGGGUGGACGGCCACAGUGGGACUGAGAUACGGCCCAGACUCCUACGGGAGGCAGCAGUGGGGAAUAUUGCACAAUGGGCGCAAGCCUGAUGCAGCGACGCCGCGUGGGGGAUGACGGCCUUCGGGUUGUAAACCUCUUUCGACAGGGACGAAGCUUUGGUGACGGUACCUGUAUAAGAAGCACCGGCUAACUACGUG
rnacentral:rRNA from 1 species